GAUGAACGCUGGCGGCGUGCCUAAUACAUGCAAGUCGAGCGAACGGACGAGAAGCUUGCUUCUCUGAUGUUAGCGGCGGACGGGUGAGUAACACGUGGAUAACCUACCUAUAAGACUGGGAUAACUUCGUGAAACCGGAGCUAAUACCGGAUGAUAUUUUGAACCGCAUGGUUCAAAAGUGAAAGACGGUCUUGCUGUCACUUAUAGAUGGAUCCGCGCUGCAUUAGCUAGUUGGUAAGGUAACGGCUUACCAAGGCAACGAUGCAUAGCCGACCUGAGAGGGUGAUCGGCCACACUGGAACUGAGACACGGUCCAGACUCCUACGGGAGGCAGCAGUAGGGAAUAUUGCGCAAUGGGCGCAAGCCUGACGGAGCAACGCCGCGUGAGUGAUGAAGGUCUUCGGAUCGUAAAACUCUGUUAUUAGGGAAGAACAUAUGUGUAAGUAACUGUGCACAUCUUGACGGUACCUAAUCAGAAAGCCACGGCUAACUACGUG
rnacentral:rRNA from 1 species